GAGAGUUAAAUAGUACGUGAAAUUGUUGAAAGGGAAACGAUUGAAGUCAGUCAUGCUAGUGAAAAAUCAGUUUAACGGGUUUUGAGUUCAGGAGUAGAGGCAGGGUCAAACCGUUUCUCUUUUGGACUUGGGAUUUGUUAGAUGUACUUUUUCUUUGGCAGGUCAGCGUCGAUUUCGGAGGUUGUAAAAUACUUGGGGGAAAGUAACUCUGCUUCGGGAGAGUAUUAUAGACCCUGGGGGAUGCAGCCUGCGGGAUCGAGGAUUGCAGCAAAUGCCUUUGGCUUGUCGCCUGAUCUCUGGAUGUUACCUCGCUUGUGACAACAUUCUUGCCACCUGUGGGUACUAAUGCCCAUUAGGUUAGAGCGAUCAAAAAUUUUGCUAAGGAUGCUGACGUAAUGGCUUUAAACGA
rnacentral:rRNA from 1 species